rnacentral:rRNA from 1 species
AUACGUAGGGUGCGAGCGUUGUCCGGAAUUACUGGGCGUAAAGAGCUCGUAGGCGGUUUGUCGCGUCGUCUGUGAAAUUCCGGGGCUUAACUCCGGGCGUGCAGGCGAUACGUGCAUAACUUGAGUACUGUAGGGGAGACUGGAAUUCCUGGUGUAGCGGAGAAAUGGGCAGAUAUCAGGAGGAACACCGGUGGCGAAGGAGGGUUCCGGGGCAGGAACUGUCGCUGAGGAGCGAAAGCGUGGGUAGGGAACAGGAUUAGAUACCCUGGUAGUCCAUGCCGUAAACGGUGGGCGCUAGGUGUAGGGGUCUUCCGCGACUUCUGGGCCGUAGAUAACGCAUAAUGCGCCCCGCCUGGGGAGUACGGCCGCAAGGCUAAAACUCAAAUGAAUUGACGGGG